CAGCAGCCGCCACGGGAAUACAGAGGGUGCGAGCGUUAAUCGGAUUUACUGGGCGUAAAGCGUGCGUAGGCGGCUUCUUAAGUCGGAUGUGAAAUCCCUGAGCUUAACUUAGGAAUUGCAUUCGAUACUGGGAAGCUAGAGUAUGGGAGAGGAUGGUAGAAUUCCAGGUGUAGCGGUGAAAUGCGUAGAGAUCUGGAGGAAUACCGAUGGCGAAGGCAGCCAUCUGGCCUAAUACUGACGCUGAGGUACGAAAGCAUGGGGAGCAAACAGGAUUAGAUACCCCGGUAGUCCCUGUCUCUUAUAU
rnacentral:rRNA from 1 species